GGGGGGGGGGGGGGGGGGGGGGGGGGGGCCCUGCCGCCGCCGCCGCCAUUCCGCGUGGGGCGUGCGGCACGCGCGGCUGCGGCGCGGCGCGGCCGGGGGGGCGGACACGGGCGAGGUAUCGACCGGGCACGGGGCACAAGGGCCGCGCUGGCUCACCCCGGCCGCACUCUGCCCCCGCAAGAGCAAACACUGGGGCCUCCUGUUUGCGCUGCAGCUUCCCCCGAGAGCCUGCCUCGGUGGGCUGCGGCUGGGGCACCACCGACCCCGGCACGAGUUCGUAACCCUGCUGCUCUGCCCCGCGAGCCAUCACCAUGUCCUGGCCUUUAAGAAAAGGUCCCUUCGGAUACUGGAUACUACUCCAUUCAAAGGGGCACAAGCUGCAGCCGGGGCGGGCGGCCAUCUGCCCUUUGUUACCAGAUGAAAGCAGCGCAUACCAUCCUCCGGAGAAGGAGCGAGGCCGGCGGGAGCAGCCCCUGACCGGCUAUCACCCGGGGGCCCCUCCCCGCCUCCUCGGGCAGGGGCGCAGCCGCCCAUCCCCGCCCUGGGGACACCUCCCCGCAAGGACCGGUGCGGGGGGGGGGGGGGGGGGGGGGGGGGGGGGGGGGGGGGGGGGGGGGGGGGGGGGGGGGGGGGGG
rnacentral:lncRNA from 12 species